CGGGGGGGGCAAGCGUUGUUCGGAAUUACUGGGCGUAAAGGGCUCGUAGGUGGCCAACUAAGUCAGACGUGAAAUCCCUCGGCUUAACCGGGGAACUGCGUCUGAUACUGGAUGGCUUGAGUUCGGGAGAGGGAUGCGGAAUUCCAGGUGUAGCGGUGAAAUGCGUAGAUAUCUGGAGGAACACCGGUGGCGAAGGCGGCAUCCUGGACCGACACUGACACUGAGGAGCGAAAGCCAGGGGAGCAAACGGGAUUAGAUACCCCGGUAGUCCUGGCCCUAAACGAUGAAUGCUUGGUGUGGCGGGUACCGAUCCCUGCCGUGCCGAAGCUAACGCAUUAAGCAUUCCGCCUGGGGAGUACGGUCGCAAGGCUG
rnacentral:rRNA from 1 species